rnacentral:rRNA from 1 species
UACGUAGGGUGCAAGCGUUAAUCGGAAUUACUGGGCGUAAAGCGUGCGCAGGCGGUUUUGUAAGUCAGAUGUGAAAUCCCCGGGCUUAACCUGGGAACUGCGUUUGAAACUACAAGGCUAGAGUGUGGCAGAGGGGGGUGGAAUUCCGCGUGUAGCAGUGAAAUGCGUAGAGAUGCGGAGGAACACCGAUGGCGAAGGCAGCCCCC